GAUGCAGCCAUGCCGCGUGUGUGAAGAAGGCCUUCGGGUUGUAAAGCACUUUCAGUUGUGAGGAAGGUGGUGUCGUUAAUAGCGGCAUCAUUUGACGUUAGCAACAGAAGAAGCACCGGCUAACUCCGUGCCAGCAGCCGCGGUAAUACGGAGGGUGCGAGCGUUAAUCGGAAUUACUGGGCGUAAAGCGCAUGCAGGUGGUUUGUUAAGUCAGAUGUGAAAGCCCGGGGCUCAACCUCGGAACUGCAUUUGAAACUGGCAGACUAGAGUACUGUAGAGGGGGUAGAAUUUCAGGUGUAGCGGUGAAAUGCGUAGAGAUCUGAAGGAAUACCGGUGGCGAAGGCGGCCCCCUGGACAGAUACUGACACUCAGAUGCGAAAGCGUGGGGAGCAAACAGGAUUAGAUACCCUGGUAG
rnacentral:rRNA from 1 species